UACGGAGAGGGCUAGCGUUAUUCGGAAUUAUUGGGCGUAAAGAGCGCGUAGGCUGGUUAGUAAGUUAAAAGUGAAAUCCCGAGGCUCAACCUUGGAAUUGCUUUUAAAACUGCUAAUCUAGAGAUUGAAAGAGGGUAGAGGAAUUCCUAGUGUAGAGGUGAAAUUCGUAAAUAUUAGGAGGAACACCAGUGGCGAAGGCGUCUAUCUGGUUCAAAUCUGACGCUGAGGCGCGAAGGCGUGGGGAGCAAACAGG
rnacentral:rRNA from 1 species